GCGGUACCUAUGCCAUUCCAGCUGAGGACAGGACAUGCACGCCUGCCUUUGAAGACAGGACAAGCCUGGACACACCAGAUCCCCAAGACCAGGGUCCGCAACAGGGGUGACAGCACAGGUGGCUGUAGCAGGAGCUUUUAGCUGGACCACACAGCAGACAUGGACAUCGUGACCAAGACAGUUGUCCUCACACCAUGAAGGCCAUAGUGCAGACAACGGAGAGUGGCCACUUGGUUCUGCAAUGUCAGAAAGCAGAGACUAACCUUUAAAGCCCAUUAAAUAGGUUCAGGGAGCCUAUUUUGCCUUUCUUUACUGCGGUUUAAAUAAAGAGCCAUUAAAUCUGA